rnacentral:lncRNA from 1 species
GGGGUAGUACAUUAGCCUCUAGGUCUGGAGAUUAAGUCAUUUGAAAAUCAUUUUAUGAGAUAUAUUCUUAUUUCCAAUGUUGUGUAAUUGUGUAGUAAUUCAUUAUCUACCUGGCAACUAUUUUGAUUGGCCAGAUGUUACUAAUUGUUUGAGCAAGAACAGGAAGUAGUUGAGUUGAUUUUGUGACUGUGGAAUCUGACGGGACUCCCUAAAAACACGGCACAAUUUUUUGUAGCAGGUUAGAAGAGCAUUUUGGGAAUCUCGGAAUCUAGUGGAAACCCUGUAAUCUGUGGUCAGUUCAUCAGUAAAUUUGAAAAGAGUAAUCAGUCUCUGUCCAGUGUUUGUCUACAUAGAGAGUUAACCGUUCACCGUGUAAAGAACCCUUAAACCACAACACCAAAGAAGAGUUAACAUUAAGGACCUGAGCCCUAGGACCAUGCCUCAGGACUACCUGGUAUGAUGACUCCUUGCUGUCCCCAGUCCACCUGGCCGUGCUGCUGCUCCAGUUUCAACUGUUCUGACUGCGGCUAUGGAACCCUGACCUGUUCACCGGACGUGCUUGUUGCACCCUCGACAACUACUAUGAUUAUUAUUAUUUGACCAUGCUGGUCAUUUAUGAACAUUUUAACAUUUUAACAUUUUGACCAUGUUCUGUUAUAAUAUCCACCCUGCACAGCCAGAAGAGGACUGGCCACCCCUCAUAGCCUGGUUCCUCUCUAGGUUUCUUCCUAGGUUUUUGGCCUUUCUAGGGAGUUUUUCCUAGGGAGUUUUUCCUAGCCACCGUGCUUCUUUCACAUGCUUUGCUUGCUGUUUGGGGUUUUAGGCUGGGUUUCUGUACAGCACUUUGAGAAUAUCAGCUGAUGUACGAAGGGCUAUAUAAAAAUAAAUUUGAUUUGAUUUGAUUUGUUUAAAAUCCAUUUUUAUGCCAUUUUUCUCGUAAAAAAAGCGAUAAUAUUCCGACCGGGAAUCUCCUUUUAGCUAAACAGGAAAGAAAACAAAGCAUUCGGUCGACGUGGGCACGCGCCUGAGUCUCACAGUACUGUAACCAGCCACUACCCAAACACGCUACUUUGUUUCAGCCAGAGCCUGCAAAGCCACGAUUCAGCUUUUUACCGCCUUCUGAGACCCUAUGGCAGCCGUAGGAAGUGUCACGGGACAGCUAAGAUCCUCACUCUUCAAUAAACAGAGACAAGAAGAACGACACCUUGUCAGACAGGCCACUUCCUGCCUGAAACCUUGUCAGGUUUUUGCCUGCCAAAUGAGUUCUGUUAUACACAGACACCAUUCAAACAGUUUUAGAAACUUUAGGGUGUUUUCUAUCCAUAUGUAAUAAGUAUAUGCAUAUUCUAGUUACUGGGUAGGAGUGGUAACCAGAUUAAAUCGGGCACGUUUUUUAUCCAGCCGUGAAAAUACUGCCCCCUAGCCAUAACAGGUUAAGAGAGCUAGGUGAGACCACAUACAGUACCACAGUUGUAGUAGGGUAAAUACAUUUGAAUUCAAUCACUUUUUGACAGCAACCCUGCCAAAAAUGUUGCAUACAUGUUUUUACAUGGUAGAAGUGGUCAGAAGUGGUCACUGCCAAAGGGGGUGGAGUUGCAAUCUACUGCAGAGACAGUCUGCAGAGUUCCGUCAUGCUAUCCAGGUCUGUGCCCAAACAGUUCGAGCUUCUACCUUUAAAAAUCCACCUUUCCAGAAAUAAGUCUCUCACUGUUGCCGCUUGUUACUGACCCCCCUCAACCCCCAGCUGGACCCUGGACACCAUAUGUGAAUUAAUUGCCCCCCAUUUAUCUUCAGAGUUUGUACUGUUAGGUGACCUAAACUGGGAUAUGCUUAACACCCCGGCCAUCCUACAAUCUAAACUAGAUGUCCUCAAUCUCACACAAAUUAUCAUAGAACCUACCAGGUACAACCCCAAAUCCGUAAACUCGGGCACCCUCAUAGAUAUCAUCUUGACCAACCUGCCCUCUAAAUACACCUCUGCUGUCUUCAACCAGGAUCUCAGCGAUCACUGCCUCAUUGCCUGUGUCCGUAAUGGGUCUGCAGUCAAACGACCACCCCUCAGUUAAACGGUCAAACGCUCCCUAAAACACUUCAGCGAGCAGGCCUUUCUAAUCGACCUGACCCGAGUAUGUUGGAAAGAUAUUGACCUCAUUUCGUCAGUAGAGGAUGCCUAGUUAUUCUUUAAAAGUGCUUUCCUCACCAUCUUAAAUAAGCAUGCCCCAUUCAAAAAAUGUUGAACCAGGAAUAGAUAUAACCCUUGGUUCACUCCAGACCUGACUGCCCUUGACCAGCACAAAAACAUCCUGUGGUGUACUGCAUUAGCGUCGAAUAGCCCCCAUGAUAUGCAACUUUUCAGGGAAGUUAGGAACCAACAUACACAGGCAGUUAGGAAAGCAAAGGCUAGCUUUUCAAACAGAAAUUUGCUACCUGUAGCACAAACUCCAAAAAGUUCUGGGACACUGUAAAGUCCACGGCGAAUAAGAGCACCUCUUCCCAGCUGCCCACUGCACUGAGGUCUAGGAAACACUGUCACCACCGAUAAAUUUACUAAAAUCGAGAAUCUCAAUAAGCAUUUUUCUAUGGCUAGCCAUGCUUUCCACCUGGCUACCCCUACCCCGGUCAACAGCUCUGCUGUCACGGCUGUCGUAAAGAGGGGACCAAAGCGCAGCGUGUUGAUAGUUCCACAUUUUAUUUACUCUGUGAAACUCAUGCAAUACAUAAAAAUAACUGAAUAGACAAAAAACAACAAACCGUGACACAGAGAGGAACAAACACUACUCACAAACAAUCACCCACAAAACCCAGGAAGAAAAACCCCUACUUAAAUAUGAUCUCCAAUUAGAGGCAACGAGGACCAGCUGCCUCCAAUUGGAGAUGAACCAAAAAACAACAUAGAAAUGGAAAAACUAGAACUUAAACAUAGAAAUAGAAAACAUAGAAAACCACCCAAAACACCCCCUGUCACGCCCUUACCAACUCUACUAUAGAAAAUGACAUCUUACAAGGGUCAGGACGUGACAGUACCCCACCAAAGGUGCAGACUCCGAAUGCUACCAAACAAAACAUA